GUGGGGGAUAUUGCACAAUGGGCGAAAGCCUGAUGCAGCGACGCCGCGUGAGGGAAGACGGUCUUCGGAUUGUAAACCUCUGUCUUCAGGGACGAAAGGAAUGACGGUACCUGAGGAGGAAGCCACGGCUAACUACGUGCCAGCAGCCGCGGUAAUACGUAGGUGGCAAGCGUUGUCCGGAAUUACUGGGUGUAAAGGGAGCGUAGGCGGGGAUGCAAGUUGAAUGUUUAAACUAUCGGCUCAACUGAUAGUCGCGUUCAAAACUGCAACUCUUGAGUGAAGUAGAGGUAGGCGGAAUUCCUAGUGUAGCGGUGAAAUGCGUAGAUAUUAGGAGGAACACCAGUGGCGAAGGCGGCCUACUGGGCUUUUACUGACGCUGAGGCUCGAAAGCAUGGGGAGCAAACAGGAUUAGAAACCCUAGUAGUCC
rnacentral:rRNA from 1 species